rnacentral:misc_RNA from 1 species
AUUUGAAAGUGACAAUGCAAGGUCCUGCACAAGAUCAUGCAUCUUGCACUGUAUAAUAUUCUCACAUGCAUCCCUUUCCACAUCUUGGAAAAAGCAAUUCUGCAGCAAGGCAUUAAAAUACUUGUUGCCCUCAUCUUGACUAGACGACCCAAGAAAACCUUCAGCCAUCCAAAGCUGAACUAAUUCUUCCUUUGCAAUAUCAAAAUCUUUGGGGAAAAUUGAACAAUAUGCAAAACAUGGCUUCAAAAAUGGAGGCAAAUGAUCAAAACUUAGCUUUAGUACAGACUCAACAUUAUCCUCGUUAUCUGAUGAAUUCAAAUCAUUACUACUCAUAAUUGACAACCAUGCUUCCUUAUCCCUUUUGAAACCCAUCGUUCCACCUAAAACUUUUGCGGCUAAUGGCACUCCUCUACAUUUUUUUGCAAUCUCCUUUCCAAUGCACUCCAAAUCUAAAGGUAUUGAUGCUUCUCCAUUUCCAAAUGCCCUUUCCUUCAUAAUGGACCAACAUUCAUCAUCAGACAACAAAUUCAAUGUAUGCCUGUAAUGAGUAUAUGUCUCCAUAGAUGUCUCCAUUAUGGAUGCCACUUGCUCGCUACGAGUUGUGACAACAAUAGCACUUCCAGUAUUCUUUCCACUAACUUCUUUUAAACGAUUCUUUAAAGCAACCCAUCUCUCUGAUACCUCAUUCCACACGUCAUCAAGAACAAGUAGAAAUUUUUUUCCCUCUAAUGCCUCUUUGAGCCCCCGAAGUAUUGCACCUUUGUUUUUCAACCCACCCGUGUUUGCAUUGAGAGUUUGCAACAUCUCCCCUAAAAUCCUUUCGUCAUGAAAGUUAUAAGAGACACAAACCCAUAUUUUAAAAUCAAAAAACUUUUUUUCCAUUAC